GAUGAGCGCUGGCGGCGUGCCUAAUACAUGCAAGUCGAGCGAACGGACGAGAAGCUUGCUUUUCUGAUGUUAGCGGCGGACGGGUGAGUAACACGUGGAUAACCUACCUAUAAGACUGGGAUAACUUCGGGAAACCGGAGCUAAUACCGGAUAAUAUUUUGAACCGCAUGGUUCAAAAGUGAAAGACGGUCUUGCUGUCACUUAUAGAUGGAUCCGCGCUGCAUUAGCUAGUUGGUAAGGUAACGGCUUACCAAGGCAACGAUGCAUAGCCGACCUGAGAGGGUGAUCGGCCACACUGGAACUGAGACACGGUCCAGACUCCUACGGGAGGCAGCAGUAGGGAAUCUUCCGCAAUGGGCGAAAGCCUGACGGAGCAACGCCGCGUGAGUGAUGAAGGUCUUCGGAUCGUAAAACUCUGUUAUUAGGGAAGAACAUAUGUGUAAGUAACUGUGCACAUCCUGACGGUACCUAAUCAGAAAGCCACGGCUAACUACGUG
rnacentral:rRNA from 1 species